UCAUCCUCUCAGGAUUUACACCUGUUGUCGUGAGCAUGCGGCGUCACGACCCUCGCGUGAAAUCAAGAGAGGGGUU
rnacentral:pre_miRNA from 1 species